rnacentral:rRNA from 1 species
GAUGAACGCUGGCGGCGUGCCUAAUACAUGCAAGUCGAGCGAACGGACGAGAAGCUUGCUUCUCUGAUGUUAGCGGCGGACGGGUGAGUAACACGUGGAUAACCUACCUAUAAGACUGGGAUAACUUCGGGAAACCGGAGCUAAUACCGGAUAAUAUUUUGAACCGCAUGGUUCAAAAGUGAAAGACGGUCUUGCUGUCACUUAUAGAUGGAUCCGCGCUGCAUUAGCUAGUUGGUAAGGUAACGGCUUACCAAGGCAACGAUGCAUAGCCGACCUGAGAGGGUGGUCGGCCACACGGGAACUGAGACACGGUCCAGACUCCUGCGGGAGGCCGCAGUAGGGAAUCUUCCGCAAUGGGCGAAAGCCUGACGGAGCAACGCCGCGUGAGUGAUGAAGGUCUUCGGAUCGUAAAACUCUGUUAUUAGGGAAGAACAUAUGUGUAAGUAACUGUGCACAUCUUGACGGUACCUAAUCAGAAAGCCACGGCUAACUACGUG